UAGCAUAUCAAUAAGCGGAGGAAAGAACCAACAGGGAUUGCCUUAGUAACGGCGAGUGAAGCGGCAACAGCUCAAAUUUGAAAUCUGGCCUUCUGGUCCGAGUUGUAAUUUGCAGAGGAUGCUUCGGGCGCGGUGCCUUCCAAGUCCCCUGGAACGGGGCGCCGGAGAGGGUGAGAGCCCCGUACGGUUGGCGGCCAAGCCUGUGUGAAGCUCCUUCGACGAGUCGAGUAGUUUGGGAAUGCUGCUCUAAGCGGGAGGUAGACCCCUUCUAAAGCUAAAUACCGGCCAGAGACCGAUAGCGCACAAGUAGAGUGAUCGAAAGAUGAAAAGCACUUUGAAAAGAGGGUUAAACAGCACGUGAAAUUGUUGAAAGGGAAGCGCUUGUGACCAGACGUGCGCCGGGGUGUUCAGCGGGCGUUCUCGCCCGUGCACUCGCCUCGGCGCAGGCCAGCGUCGGUUUGGGUGGGGGGAUAAAGGCGUCUGGAAUGUGGCUCCUCCGGGAGUGUUAUAGCCAGACGUGCCAUGCCUCCGCCUGGACCGAGGUACGCGUUCUGCAAGGACGCUGGCGUAAUGGUCUCCAGCGACCCGUCUUGAAACACGGACCAAGGAGUCGAGGUUUUGCGCGAGUGUUUGGGUGGAAAACCCGCACGCGUAAUGAAAGUGAACGUAGGUGAGAGCUUCGGCGCAUCACCGACCGAUCCUGAUGUUUUCGGAUGGAUUUGAGUAAGAGCGUAGGGCCUCGGACCCGAAAGAUGGUGAACUAUGCUUGGAUAGGGUGAAGCCAGAGGAAACUCUGGUGGAGGCUCGCAGCGGUUCUGACGUGCAAAUCGAUCGUCAAAUCUGAGCAUGGGGGCGAAAGACUAAUCG
rnacentral:rRNA from 1 species